rnacentral:lncRNA from 1 species
UGGGCGCCGUACUUUCGGCAAAGCAUACGGAAGGGUAACUCGGAGUUAUCGACCAUGGGAGCCACAAUGAGUUUGGGCUGGCCUAGCUUCUUCCAGUGAACCCAGGCCCGCUCGAUACGAGACUCUCCGGUCAAGUAACCGUUUGGACGGCCCAAAUGGAAGGCAUCUUGCUCGGAUUUCUCAGUCGUCGGAGCGGAAAAAUUGAAGGAAGAGAGGCAAUCAUCGUCUUCGUUGUCAUUGAGGAGUUCGGAGGAUAAUGGUCGGGUUUGGGUCGCCAUAAAUGGAUUCGGGUGAAACCUGGUCGAGGAAGAGAAAUAGGACAAUGGUUUGAAUUUCAUGGAAAGGAUUCAAUAGAAGUGGCGGCGGCGGUCAGACCCAUCGCCGCCAAGGUGUUCAGGAACUAGGAUGAGUGAGGGUGUAGAUUUGAGUUGAGGGGCGGUCCGCGAAAUUGAGAAUCUUUUCCCACGGCGACAAAAAUAGGAAUUUGCAGGGAGCUCCUUAACUUACAGUAAUUAUAGCAAGUUGAUCCUUAUCUUUUAAUAUAGUUAUUACCUAGCGUCGUUAG